GAUGAACGCUGGCGGCGUGCCUAAUACAUGCAAGUCGAGCGAACGGACGAGAAGCUUGCUUCUCUGAUGUUAGCGGCGGACGGGUGAGUAACACGUGGAUAACCUACCUAUAAGACUGGGAUAACUUCGGGAAACCGGAGCUAAUACCGGAUAAUAUUUUGAACCGCAUGGUUCAAAAGUGAAAGACGGUCUUGCUGUCACUUAUAGAUGGAUCCCCGCUGCAUUAGCUAGUUGGUAAGGUAACGGCUUACCAAGGCAACGAUGCAUAGCCGACGUGAGAGGGUGAUCGGCCACACGGGAACUGAGACGCGGUCCAGGGUCCUACGGGAGGCAGCAGUAGGGAAUCUUCCGCAAUGGGCGAAAGCCUGACGGAGCAACGCCGCGUGAGUGAUGAAGGUCUUCGGAUCGUAAAACUCUGUUAUUAGGGAAGAACAUAUGUGUAAGUAACUGUGCACAUCUUGACGGUACCUAAUCAGAAAGCCACGGCUAACUACGUG
rnacentral:rRNA from 1 species